UCCAAUUGGGAAAGCACUUUCCGGUUUCACACUUGAAAGCUUUCAAGGGCUUUUUCAGUUUCUAGCGUUCUCAUUCGUCCGCUGCGGUGGGUGUCCUGUCCUCAUUUCCGUCAGUUCCCAUUAUGUAGUUCCGGACGUGGAGACCGCUGGACCACGUGGAUCCCCAUCACAGCAGCCGCCCUUGGGACGUUGAGAACCGUCGCCGGACGCCGGACGCCAGACGGCAACUGGCGGCACCACUUGGUCCUCAUGAGCCGCUGCCGCUGCGCUUUCAAAUUGGAAGCUCGCUACAGUAGGCGGCGCCAUUCUGAUCAAGGGUGCAGCGAUCUCGUCAGCUACCGUGUUGCUAUUGUUUGUAGAGGUUGGGAGGGCUUGUGAUGGUUGUGUCUCCUGACAAUACUCCACGAAUCGUUGCCUUGUUCACGCUGGGCUGGACAGUUCGCUUGUUAUUGUCUGUUAAGUUGAUGAUCUUGGCUGUCUAAUGCGACUAGGUUACGACUUGGCCUUUUUCCACUGUCCCUGUAGUGAAAGAGGAGUCGAGGUCGAGGUCGUUUUGUGGUCCCGGCCCCUGGUGGUUAUUGAGAUCGGUGUCUGCAUUGCGGAGGUGGAGGUCGAUUUCGAUUUUUGUGUUGUGUGUAGACCCGUCGGCUCGUGCUUUAUUGUUGCGUCGGGGAGGGACCCACCGGCGGUCGUGUGAUGCAGGGCGGUUUCCCGGUAGUUUGACUUCGGGAGAUCGGUUGCUCGAUGCGGGAGCGUACAGGUUGUUGUUGUUGUUGUUGUGUUUUGACGAACUUGUUUCUGGAGAAUUUCGGUGCCGGAGGAUUGGAGUGUAAUACGUUCGCUGCGGAGUUUGCGUGCUCCGUACAUGUUGAACUGCAAGUUCAAGUAGGCAACGUCUGUCGCACCUAAAUUUAUUAGAAUCUUACAAACAAUUCUGUCAAUAUUUUCCUGCAAGGACUGUUGAAGUACAUUUGGGGGACAAAGACUUAGCAAUUGCUUGGAGGUCUGUAACACGCAGACUUUGUUUUAAUUUUAUUUUUCGUAGUUUUCAUUCGGUUGGCUUUACAUGUGUACAUCCUUGAGAGAGGUAUCCUUGUAGAGCUUACUUCUUAAGGUGCUAAUCUUAGCGAAAAUCCUAGAAUAGGAAGCCAUGGCAAUGGGACUAGGUCCAAUGCAGCUUCUUCCAAUUGGUCGAAAGCAAAUUCUUUCGGGUAAACUGCACGAUAGAUCUGUAGUUUGCAGAAGUAGUGACGAUGGACCAGUUUCUACCAGUAAUUUAUUGCACAGAGAUGUGUUUCAACGUUGUCGACAGCGUCAUGUUCCCUUGGCUGCAACUCCAGGCUUUCUUGGCAGGCACUCCUUCAAUUUAAAUCGGAAGUGUGGUGUAGUUUCAUGUGCGGAAUCAAAUAUUGUUGACAGUACAUUGGAGCCGGCUCCAGAAGUGAUUGAUGCAACGAUCUCAGAGUCAUCACCAGAAAUCGUCGUCGGAUCUUUUACUGAGUCAGGUAUUGAGGUUGUGAGGUCGAUUGAAGAAGCUGAAAAUGAGGUACUCAAAGCUGUGUCUGACCUCGAACAAGGAGGGACAUUCGGCAUUGGAAUUACACGCAAUCCCAUCACAUCUGUGCUGGAUGUAUUAUCGACAGAGGAUCAUAGCUUCAAUGUGCAAUCUCAGCUGUUAAAUGCUCUAGAGCAACCUUCAGCGGUGGCAGCUUCUUGUGUGGUCUCUGAGGUCGCCAACGCGUUGAGAACUUUAGAAAGGGAUGGUGGGGAGUCUCUUGAGAGCGGCGUGUUGAAUUUGGUGGGUACAGAAGUAGAAGCGGGCGAGCGUGAUAAGUUGUUGAGCGGACUCCAGCAACUCACAUCAUCAGUUGAGCCCAGCCUCAUGGCGACAGAAAUGGCAGAUUCUUUGUUAUCUACAAGUAAAGAUUUGAGUGACGGUGCGUCAUCUCAAGAAGAGAGCGUGAUGGAACAUGCCUCGGCAUCUGUAGUAGAAUCAAAGAACUUCUUUGAGCAAUUCAAGGAAAUUAUUGUAUUUGCAGGACCCGCACUCGGCAUUUGGCUGUCCGGGCCUAUCAUGAGCUUGAUUGAUACCUCUGUCAUUGGGAAUAGUAGCUCCUUGGAACUCGCUGCUCUUGGGCCGGGUACAGUCAUAUGUGAUCAAUUCUGCUUCGUUUUCAUGUUCUUGUCUGUGGCCACUUCCAACCUCGUUGCUACGGCUCUUGCUUUGAAGAAUAGAGAAGAGGCAGCAGGACAUCUUUCAAGAUUGAUAUUUGUGUCAUUGGCGUGUGGAAUCGGCAUGUUUCUCCUCACCUGGUUUGGAGCGACUCCUGUUAUGACAGCAUUUGUGGGGGUCAAGAAUGCUGCUUUGGUUCCCACUGCACUUCCUUACGUUCAGAUCAGAGCCUUUGCAUGGCCUGCAGUGCUUGUUGGCAUGGUUGCACAGAGUGCCAGUCUUGGAAUGCAGGAUUCAUGGGCUCCACUGAAAGUACUAGCAAUUGCGAGUUGUGUGAAUCUUUUUGGAGACAUCCUCUUGUGUAGUGUGCUUGGAUACGGCAUAGCAGGAGCAGCAUGGGCAACAAUGGCCUCUCAGUAUGUGGGAGUGAUUUUGAUGUUGAUGUCAUUGAACGACAAAGGGUACAAUCCCCUUGCUAUGAGUAUACCUUCCGUGGAAGAAUUUACCAUCAUGGUUAACUUAGCUGGACCGGUUCUACUCACUAUGUUGUCCAAGGUGUUAUUCUAUACGCUCAUCACUUACUUAGCAACAUCUUUGGGAUCGGCAACCUUAGCUGGCCAUCAGGUGAUGAUUGGGAUCUAUUCUCUGUGUACUACAUGGGGAGAGCCUCUUGCGCAGACAGCCCAGUCUUUCAUGCCUGCUCUCAUCUUUGGUAUUGAACGUAAUUUGCAGAAGGCAAGGAGUUUGUUGAAGUCCUUGAUGACAAUUGGAAUUGUGGUCGGGCUUUCGUUAGGGUGCUGCGCUAUAUCUGUACCCUGGUUUUUACCUCAAGUUUUCACCAAAGAUCCCGCUAUCAUCUCUCAGAUGCGUUUGGUGUCAGUGCCCUUCCUUUUCAGUCUGAUGAUUACUCCACCUACACUUUCUCUGGAGGGCACUUUACUGGCUGGUAGAGAUAUGAAGUAUUUGGGGAUUAGCAUGGCCUCAUGUUUCGUUGGUGGGGCCAUCAUGUUAUUGACAAUGCACAGGCUUGGGUUCGGAUUAGUUGGUAGCUGGUGGACGCUUGCAGCUUUUCAAUGGACACGUUUCUUACAGGCGUAUUCCCGUCUACAUUCUUCACGGAGCUUUCUGGCUGAUCCUGUGUUGUCACACGAGGGAGGUUCACUAUUAAAGACUGCGUAAGGAGAUGUGAUGAUUGCUCUAAAGCGGCAGUCUUGGCUCCCACAACACUUGGCAAUGUGUUCGCGUUUUAGAGCACAUUUUCUGGAGAGCAAUUCAUUUUGUUUUUAGACCUCACAUUUGUGAACCCCUUCUGAUUAAAAUAGGGGUUCACUAAUUCAAAGCAUUUCAGGGACGUGUCGUACAGCUAGGAGCUCUUGGCGACGCUAUUUCAGUCGAUUUCAGAGUUCCUGUAAGGUAUCUAACAUAACAAUGUACAGGGAAUCCUUGGCAUCGUAUCUCAGUGUGCGCUACUCUUCAACUGAAAGGUGAGAGACCAAUGCCUAAUAUUAUUUCAUCACGGAGAGACCAUAUCCUACUUUCAAUGGCGUCAUUACCAACAGUACCUUUCAGUACCUCAAGUUAUUUACUUAAUUAUUUUUUGAUAUGCUUCCACAAAAUGUGAGGGCUUAAUAGGGGCUUGGCCAACUUAAGCAUUAUACAAGUUGAUAAGAAAUGAUGUUUGCUUUCACACAAUAUAAGUUUUGAGAAGGAA